GACGAACGCUGGCGGCGUGCCUAAUACAUGCAAGUCGAACGAAAAGACCAGGAUUUUGUUCUUCUUACGUUAGCGGCGGGUGGGUAACGAACAAGUGGCUAACCUGUCUACAAGACUGGAAUAACUUCGAGACACCGGAGAUAAUACCGGAUAAUAUAUUGAACCGCAUGGUUGAGUAGUUAAUGGCGGACGUGCUUUUACUUGUAGAGGGUUCCGCGCCGCCUUAGCUACUUGGUAAGGUAACGGCUUACGACGGCAACGAUGAGUAGCCGACGUGCGAGGGUGAUCGGCCACGCUGGAACUGAGACACGGUCCAGACCCCGACGGGAGGCAGCAGUAGGGAAGCUGCCGAAAUGGGCGAAAGCGUGACGGAGCAGCGCCGCGUGAGUGAUGAAGGUCUUCGGAUCGUAAAACUCUGUUAUUAGCGAAGAACAAAUGUGUAAGUAGCUAUGCACGUCUUGACGGUACCGAUACAGAAAGCCACGGCUAACUACGUG
rnacentral:rRNA from 1 species